rnacentral:pre_miRNA from 1 species
UUCAAGUAAUCCAGGAUAGGCUUGUUCAAGCUUGGAAGGCCUAUUCUGGAUGACUUGGUUC